rnacentral:rRNA from 1 species
UACAGGGGGUGCAAACGUUGCUCGGAAUUAUUGGGCGUAAAGCGCGCGUAGGCGGCCACUUAAGUCGGAUGUGAAAGCCCCUGGCUCAACUGGGGAAGUGCACCCGAAACUGAGCGGCUUGAAUGCAAAAGAGGGUCGCGGAAUUCCCGGUGUAGAGGUGAAAUUCGUAGAUAUCGGGAGGAACACCAGUGGCGAAGGCGACUUCCUGGCCUGUUCUUGACGCUGAGGCGCGAAAGCUAGGGGAGCAAACGGG